rfam:Ciona savignyi cont_54753, whole genome shotgun sequence.
CAGGUUAGUACCCUGUGACGGAAACGAUUCGUUUCCUCUAUGUAUUAAUCGGAUUUUUGAACUUGGAGUACGGUGCUGGAGCUUGCUCCACCCUGCUCAUGGGUUGUCCUGGUAUUGCAUUGCCUCCAGGUUCGGCUCACGUUUC